rnacentral:rRNA from 1 species
CGGCGCCACAAGUGGGGAUCACUAUUAUUGGGCCUAAAGCGUCCGUAGCCGGUUCAAUAAAUCCUUUGUGAAAUCGUCUUGCUUAACAUGACGGCAUGCAGGGGAGACUGUUGAACUAGAGACCGGAAAGAGUCAGAAGUAUUCAGGGGGGAGCGGUAAAAUGCAAUAAUCCCCUGAAGACUACCUGUGGCGAAGGCGUCUGACCAGGACGGUUCUGACGGUGAGGGACGAAAGCUAGGGGAGCGAUCCGGAUUAGAUACCCGAGUAGUCC